rnacentral:snoRNA from 1 species
GUGGCUCUUAGCAUAUACACCUGCAUGCUCAAAGAGCGCUGUGGCUGCCUACAGGACCGCGCAGAGUAUUUCUGCACGGUGCUACUUCUCUCUUCGGCGAGAAGGGCGGUCGUGUGCUCCCCCACGCACUGCGGGUUUACCUAUAAUGCCCAUAGCUGGGAACUCCCUAACGCCCCUUUCGCUAGCAACGACUGCAUUCUCACAGUUCGUAGUUUGAUAGUAGGAGGGCGGAAAUAU